UGCAAGCAGGAGGAGGUGUCUCAUGGGGCCAUGCUGCCAUGCAUGUAUGUGUGUGUGCAUGCGUGUGCACCCAUGAGCCAAUCAGAAGGCAAGGAAGCUAACCACCUCCAUGGUUUCUCACGGCUCCUCGCCUGGAUGUAAAAACCAUUGUGACCUCAACAACCGACUCUGCCAUGAUGUCUAUCCGGCUUCAAGGACACGACUGUGCAUACCCGACCAAUCACUACUAUGACUACAAUGCGCCAUACGAUGCGACUAGGAAGGAUGAUGCAGGCGGGCGAAGGUGAUGUCCCAGCUAUGCUACACCGACUCGUGGACCGACAAGGACAUGGAUGACACCCACGCCACACCCACACACCCACAUCA
rnacentral:lncRNA from 1 species